ensembl:ncRNA C02H7.5 ncRNA
GGAAAACGGCGUGGAGGAAAGAAGGGGAAAAAAUGAGAGAAAGUGAGCUGGAAUAACUGAGAAGGGGGGGGGGGUGUACAGAAAAAGUGAAGAAGUAGGAAAAAGAGCGGGGGUAUUCUAAUAUCACUUGAAGAAGU